GCGCUGACAGCAUGUAACUUCAGUUGAGCUAAGAGAAAUGAGCUGAUCAGUUAAACAAAAGUCUUGAACAUUAGUUAUCUGUAGUUUAUUAGCAUGUGAGAAUUAUAUGAGAUAGUUAGAGGAGAGAGUGAAUCAGUUAUGAUGCUCUAUAAAAUGAGAUGAGGUGUAGUUAGAAGGAGUGCAAUUUUAUUUUCACAACAGCAUAAAAAUGCAGAAAUUCUCUCUCUGUAUUGUGGAGUAUUAGCUUGCUUGUUGUAGUUGGUUCAUGUACUGUGUGAAACUCAGAAUUUGAUAUGGUAUCGGAGCCUUAGGUCGUCGUAAAGAUCCAGAGAAAUCGAGCAGCUUCGACAAUGAUAGAAACACAAAGCACUGAGGAUCCAGUUGCAGAUCCAAAAUCAGAUCACAAUCAUCCGUUACAUUUGUAGGCAUCGGAUGCUCCAGGAGUAGCUCUAAUUCCUAUAAAAUUGAUAGGUUCAGAAAACUAUGGCCUUUGGAGUAGAUCUAUGCAUCUCGUACUAUUAGUAAAAAAACAAGCUUGGAUUUGUGGAUGUCACCUAUGCGAGAAGCUCAUAUAAGGGAUCAUUUUGGUAAAAUGAGAAAAAUAUGAUGCGGUGGUGCUUUAAUAGAUAAGUGCAGCUGUGGCACUGAAUUGUUGACGAGCAUAGUUUAUGUCUCUAGCUCUAAGAAGAUUUGGGAUGAUUUUAAAUAGAGGUUUGAUAAAUCAAAUUCGACUAGGAUUUUCUACUUGCGGAAAGAAAUUAGCAUGUUAACGCAAAAAACUAACACAGUGAUAGAGUAUUACCUGAAAGUGAGAGAUUUUGGGGAUGAAAUUGAUGUUAUGAUUCCAUCACCAUCUUAUAAAUGUGAGGAAUCAAUGCCUUAUGCUGAGCACAUUAAGCAACAGAGAUUGUUACAGUUUCUCAUUGGGCUAUAUGAAAGCUGAAUGUAGAUAAGAAGUUCUUAUCUUAUUGAAUGCAAUAGUUCCAAGUGUAAAUUAAAAAUAUGCAAUGACUGUGUAAGAGUAAACUUUGAGGAGAUUAGGAAUGACAGAAACAGGGAGAGAACCAAUGAUUAUGUAUGCAGGAAGGCAUUUAAAUGCUCAACAUCAUGGAAAUCAAGGAUCCAGUCAGGUGCAUGAGAAAUAUGCACACUUAUAGAAUCAAUCCUUUCAAGGAAAG
rnacentral:lncRNA from 1 species